rnacentral:rRNA from 1 species
GAUGAACGCUGGCGGCGUGCCUAAUACAUGCAAGUCGAGCGAACAGACGAGGAGCUUGCUCCUCUGACGUUAGCGGCGGGCGGGUGAGUAACACGUGGAUAACCUACCUAUAAGACUGGGAUAACUUCGGGAAACCGGAGCUAAUACCGGAUAAUAUAUUGAACCGCAUGGUUCAAUAGUGAAAGACGGUUUUGCUGUCACUUAUAGAUGGAUCUGCGCCGCAUUAGCUAGUUGGUAAGGUAACGGCUUACCAAGGCAACGAUGCGUAGCCGACCUGAGAGGGUGAUCGGCCACACUGGAACUGAGACACGGUCCAGACUCCUACGGGAGGCAGCAGUAGGGAAUCUUCCGCAAUGGGCGAAAGCCUGACGGAGCAACGCCGCGUGAGUGAUGAAGGUCUUCGGAUCGUAAAACUCUGUUAUUAGGGAAGAACAAAUGUGUAAGUAACUAUGCACGUCUUGACGGUACCUAAUCAGAAAGCCACGGCUAACUACGUG